CUGCAUGCCCUUGACUUCUGACUGAUUCACGUGCACGAUAUGGAUACCCAACCGGUAGAAGAGAUGGGGGUUGAAGUGGAGACAGGAAACUUGCCAAGUCUAGACCCUGUAACUGCGGACACUGCCGAACACUGUGCAGAUAGCCCGGGCCAGCCAGCAGAGUCAGCUAACUUAGCUGCUACGUCAUCAGUGCCCAAGAAUGCCAUGCAAGAAGAAACCAAAGAAACUACUGAUGAUGUCAGAGAAUGCACUGAUAAAACCAUUACACCAGCGAAUUCGCAAGAGGAUUCAGCAGCUAAACAGGAGCCAGAGGUGAAGGAGAACACCACCAGCACUCGAACAUCAGAGGAUCCUGCAGGAGCUGACAAGGAGCCAGUGAAGGAUCCACAGGGAGCCGCAGCAGAGACAGAGGAGCUAGAAGAUGGGGAGACUCUGGCCAAGAAGCCAAAGGUUGCGACUGAGGAAGAGGCUACAUCCAACCCCAAAAAAGUGUUCUGUGAAGAAUGA